rnacentral:lncRNA from 1 species
UGCUGCGCUGGCCUGCAUCUGCCUUUCGAGUAGCCCUAGAGGCCUAACGCUUGAGGUCACCUUCAUGGUUUUUCCAGUGACCUUGGCCAUUAAUGAGCUCCCACCGCUUCCCCAGCUGCAGCUGUAUUAUAGCGCCAGAGUCUUCCAAGCCUGCAGGUUGUGCCAAGCCUGGAGGGAUUUGCAAAAGAAACAUUUGCCUACACCAAGAUCAUGAAGAUGUUUUCUUCUAGAGGAUUUCUAGUUUUAGCUCUUUAUGUUUAAAUUGAGGGAAACUAAAUGUAUGGCCUUAAGGAGCUGUUCCAGCCUGAGACUAUACACCAGCAGAAAGAAACUCACAGCACUGAAAAUAUUGUUCUCCGCCCUCCCUCAUCCCUCUUCCUUCUGAAUGGGAAAAAAGAGUAAGAAGCUUUUCCCUCCAGCUGAAAGCAAAGGAGUACUCUAGCCCUCUGUGAUAGCUGAUGGCAGCAUCUUUGGUGGCUCUCCCAGAGAGGCUGCUCUCUUUGCUGGAAUUUGCCUUGUUCUCUCCUCACUGCUGAAGCACUGUCACUGCGUCCUAAAAAAACACCACAGUAUCCGUAAGACGUUGCCUGUCAUUGGAGGUUUGCUCCUUCUCUCUAUCUCAGACAGGAUUCAAUGAAGAAAACAGAAGCCACUCAGCGCAAGAACAGACUCAUACAGGAUCACUGCAUGUGGAAUCAGCUUCCAGGACUGUGAAACAAGACAUUUCUUUGGUUCAAGCCACUCCCUUAGUGCACAUUGUUAUGGCAGCCAUGGAAAACCAUCCACAGAGGGUCAGUUCCUAUGGAGGUGGGCAUUCUGUUCCAUCCCUGUCACUUCGAUGUCUCUCUUUCUUGAAUAUGGAAGCAGCCCUGGGCCCAGCUGCUGCAGGUGGCCAGGAAGGAGCCUGGGAGGAUGACGGGGUUCCUGAUCUGAUAGAACUGGGCUGUGACUAGGCAGAACCCUGUUCCACCACACACACCCCAGUGGAGGACGUUCUGUAUCUGUGAUGAAUGACCCCUGCAUACAUUAUAUCUUUCAGUAAAAACAGUGGUGUUUCAGUAGUGUUACUAGCUAAGCUGCUUAACUCUCACAUUACAGACGUCAGUGAAGCCCCUUGGUAGGUAGUGUCUAAAAUUAGAUUUAUCUGCUUAUUUACACAAUUAUACUCUCAUGAGUUUGAAUGUUGGGGAAAGAUCAAGAAAAAGACCAGAUCACUAGAUGGCAAUAGCACACAAGAGCUUUAUUUGGAUGAAGCUUGGACAGAAUGCAUGGAAGGGGAAAGUCCCUUGCAGCAGAAGACCUUCCAGAGGCAGUGGCAGGGCCACCACCAGAAGAAAAGGGCAAGGACACUCCCAGGGGAGAGGAGGAUCAGAGAGGAGGUUACAGGUCUAAGAGAUGUCACAGGUCUAGAAGAAAAGAAAAGGAGCCAGGUGCAGUGGCUCACACCUGUAAUCCCAGCACUUUGGGAGGCCCAGGCGGGCAG